UACGGAGGGAGCUAGCGUUGUUCGGAAUUACUGGGCGUAAAGCGCACGUAGGCGGCUUUGUAAGUUAGAGGUGAAAGCCCGGGGCUCAACUCCGGAACUGCCUUUAAGACUGCAUCGCUUGAAUCCAGGAGAGGUGAGUGGAAUUCCGAGUGUAGAGGUGAAAUUCGUAGAUAUUGGGAAGAACACCGGUGGCGAAGGCGGCUCUCUGGACCGAUACUGACGCUGAGGCGCGAAAGCGUGGGGAGCAAACAGG
rnacentral:rRNA from 1 species